GGGAGUUGCUUCUUUCUCCUUCGUUUCGUUCGAAACGAGGUUCUUUGAAUAUUGGGGUUGUUAGUUAAAAACCAUGUCGUCCGGCGAGGCCGUCGUCGGCGGAGCUAAGCCGUACUUCUGUCACGUUUGCACCCGGAGAAUCACCGUCUCCGACGAAUCCGAGCCUUUCUGUCCGAUUUGCCUCCAAGGCUUCGUUGAAGAAUUCACCGAUCCCAACCCUAACCCUAACGAAAACAUCUCCUUCAGUUUCGGCCCCGAUCCUUCCUCCGAUGCUCAACUCCCCUUCCAUCCUUUGUCCUUCCUCCCUUUCCUGCUCUCCUCCGCCGCCGCCGCCUCCACCACCAUCGACCUCCAGAACCCUCGCAUCUUCUCCAGUUCCUCCGGAUCCACGCCGGGACAUGAAUUUAUUCGAUCCGAUAUGUUCGACCCGUUUAUGUUUCUCCAGAACCACCUCCAAGGCCUUCGCGCCGACGGAGCAAAUGUACAAUUCGAGAUCAACCACCCUUCAGACCCAGGGUUUCGCCUUCCGGCGAACAUCGGCGAUUACUUCCUCGGUCCCGGCCUUGAGCAGUUGAUUCAGCAGCUAGCCGAGAACGAUCCCAACCGUUAUGGUACCCCGCCGGCGUCGAAGACCGCCGUGGAGAAUCUUCCUACGGUGACGGUGGACGACGAGUUGCUGAACUCCGAGCAUAACCAGUGCGCGGUUUGCCAGGACGAGUUCGAGAAGGGGUCGCAGGUGAGGCAGAUGCCUUGUAAACACGUCUAUCACGAUGAUUGCUUGCUUCCGUGGCUUCAACUACACAAUUCUUGCCCUGUUUGCCGGUAUGAAUUGCCAACCGACGACCCUGAUUAUGAGAAUCGGAAUCGCCAGGGGGACGGUGGUGGUGAUGGUUCGAGGUCUGGCAGUGGCAGUGGCGGUGGCGGUGGCGGCAGCGGCAGCGGUGACGCCUCUGGGGGUAGACCUGUUCCCAGGACUUUUAGGAUAUCUUUGCGAUACCCGUUUGGUUCGGGUGGGUCUCCGCAGGAAAGUGGCGACAGAGGAUGGGAAAGUAGGCAAGAAGAUUUGGAUUGAACCGAAGGAGAUGUGAGUUUGUUAUGAUUUCAGGAUUGAAUCUUUUUUCUGUAUAGUAUGAUACUGCUAUUGAUAACUGAUGCCAUUUUUUGUCGUUUGGUAUCAUUUCGUGUUGGAAAAUUGGAAAUUAUCCCCUCGCAUUGCUCUAUUUAUGGAAGUUCUUGUGUCUCCAAACCCGCCGUUCACCCUCUUCAUCUAUAGAGAUACUAGGCACUGUUAUUUAAGUGAUUAAUCUUUUUUCAUGUGUACAGAUCAUUUUGCAGUGUUGACUACACCCUUUAUUUGCUCUCUCUGUGUUAUCCAAUAUCAAUACCGCCCUUUAUUUA